UGAGAACUUGUGAUCUUAUUUCUUGAAUCAUAUUUUCUUAAAAAUAUAUUAUCUUAAAUCAUACAUGAAUAAGACACUAAAUAACUUUAUAGAGUUAGUAAUGCAUACAUAGUCUUUAAUAAUAAAACCAUCAUGAAAUUAUUUACAAUAAAUCAACUAUUUUUAUAGAAGUUCAUAAUUCAUAAGUAGGCCAUAUGUAUCAUUUUUAUAGCAAAAUGCAAUUUUUUACGGCCGAAGGGGGGUAAGAAUAUCCUAUAAAAGAUAGGAAGGGGAGGGGGUUCGGGGGAGGGGAAACCUUCCCUUCCCCUGAUAUUUCUAACCCUUGGAAGGGGAGGGGGUUCGGGGGAGGGGAAACCUUCCCUUCCCCAGAAAUCUUUAAAGUUUCCCGAACCUAAGUUUNNN
rnacentral:lncRNA from 1 species